UACGUAGGGUGCAAGCGUUGAUCGGAAUUACUGGGCGUAAAGCGUGCGCAGGCGGUUUUGUAAGUCUGUCGUGAAAUCCCCGGGCUCAACCUGGGAAUUGCGAUGGAGACUGCAAGGCUAGAAUCUGGCAGAGGGGGGUAGAAUUCCACGUGUAGCAGUGAAAUGCGUAGAGAUGUGGAGGAACACCGAUGGCGAAGGCAGCCCCCUGGGUCAAAAUUGACGCUCAUGCACGAAAGCGUGGGGAGCAAACAGG
rnacentral:rRNA from 1 species